UACGUAGGGUGCGAGCGUUAAUCGGAAUUACUGGGCGUAAAGCGUGCGUAGGCGGUUCGUUAAGUCAGCUGUGGAAGCCCCGGGCUCAACCUGGGAACUGCGGUUGAAACUGGCGAACUAGAAUCUGGCAGAGGGGGGUGGAAUUCCACGUGUAGCAGUGAAAUGCGUAGAGAUGUGGAGGAACACCGAUGGCGAAGGCAGCCCCCUGGGCUGAGAUUGACGCUCAGGCACGAAAGCGUGGGGAGCAAACAGG
rnacentral:rRNA from 1 species